rnacentral:rRNA from 1 species
GAUGAACGCUGGCGGCGUGCCUAAUACAUGCAAGUCGAGCGAACGGACGAGAAGCUUGCUUCUCUGAUGUUAGCGGCGGACGGGUGAGUAACACGUGGAUAACCUACCUAUAAGACUGGGAUAACUUCGGGAAACCGGAGCUAAUACCGGAUGAUAUUUUGAACCGCAUGGUUCAAAAGUGAAAGACGGUCUUGCUGUCACUUAUAGCUGGAUCCGCGCUGCAUUAGCUAGUUGGUAAGGUAAUGGCUUACCAAGGCAACGAUGCAUAGCCGACCUGAGAGGGUGAUCGGCCACACUGGGACUGAGACACGGUCCAGACCCCUACGGGAGGCAGCAGUAGGGAAUCUUCCGCAAUGGGCGAAAGCCUGACGGAGCAACGCGGCGUGAGUGAUGAAGGUCUUCGGGUCGUAAAACUCUGUUAUUAGGGAAGAACACAUGUGUAAGUAACUGUGCACAUCUUGACGGUACCUAAUCAGAAAGCCACGGCUAACUACGU